AAAUUGAAGAGUUUGAUCAUGGCUCAGAUUGAACGCUGGCGGCAGGCCUAACACAUGCAAGUCGAGCGGUAGCACAGAGAGCUUGCUCUCGGGUGACGAGCGGCGGACGGGUGAGUAAUGUCUGGGAAACUGCCUGAUGGAGGGGGAUAACUACUGGAAACGGUAGCUAAUACCGCAUAAUGUCGCAAGACCAAAGUGGGGGACCUUCGGGCCUCAUGCCAUCAGAUGUGCCCAGAUGGGAUUAGCUAGUAGGUGGGGUAACGGCUCACCUAGGCGACGAUCCCUAGCUGGUCUGAGAGGAUGACCAGCCACACUGGAACUGAGACACGGUCCAGACUCCUACGGGAGGCAGCAGUGGGGAAUAUUGCACAAUGGGCGCAAGCCUGAUGCAGCCAUGCCGCGUGUGUGAAGAAGGCCUUCGGGUUGUAAAGCACUUUCAGCGGGGAGGAAGGCGUUAAGGUUAAUAACCUUGUCGAUUGACGUUACCCGCAGAAGAAGCACCGGCUAACUCCGUGCCAGCAGCCGCGGUAAUACGGAGGGUGCAAGCGUUAAUCGGAAUUACUGGGCGUAAAGCGCACGCAGGCGGUCUGUCAAGUCGGAUGUGAAAUCCCCGGGCUUAACCUGGGAACUGCAUUCGAAACUGGCAGGCUAGAGUCUUGUAGAGGGGGGUAGAAUUCCAGGUGUAGCGGUGAAAUGCGUAGAGAUCUGGAGGAAUACCGGUGGCGAAGGCGGCCCCCUGGACAAAGACUGACGCUCAGGUGCGAAAGCGUGGGGAGCAAACAGGAUUAGAUACCCUGGUAGUCCACGCCGUAAACGAUGUCGAUUUGGAGGUUGUGCCCUUGAGGCGUGGCUUCCGGAGCUAACGCGUUAAAUCGACCGCCUGGGGAGUACGGCCGCAAGGUUAAAACUCAAAUGAAUUGACGGGGGCCCGCACAAGCGGUGGAGCAUGUGGUUUAAUUCGAUGCAACGCGAAGAACCUUACCUGGUCUUGACAUCCACAGAACUUUCCAGAGAUGGAUUGGUGCCUUCGGGAACUGUGAGACAGGUGCUGCAUGGCUGUCGUCAGCUCGUGUUGUGAAAUGUUGGGUUAAGUCCCGCAACGAGCGCAACCCUUAUCCUUUGUUGCCAGCGGUUCGGCCGGGAACUCAAAGGAGACUGCCAGUGAUAAACUGGAGGAAGGUGGGGAUGACGUCAAGUCAUCAUGGCCCUUACGACCAGGGCUACACACGUGCUACAAUGGCAUAUACAAAGAGAAGCGACCUCGCGAGAGCAAGCGGACCUCAUAAAGUAUGUCGUAGUCCGGAUUGGAGUCUGCAACUCGACUCCAUGAAGUCGGAAUCGCUAGUAAUCGUAGAUCAGAAUGCUACGGUGAAUACGUUCCCGGGCCUUGUACACACCGCCCGUCACACCAUGGGAGUGGGUUGCAAAAGAAGUAGGUAGCUUAACCUUCGGGAGGGCGCUUACCACUUUGUGAUUCAUGACUGGGGUGAAGUCGUAACAAGGUAACCGUAGGGGAACCUGCGGUUGGAUCACCUCCUUA
rnacentral:rRNA from 1 species